UACGUAGGGCGCAAGCGUUAUCCGGAAUUAUUGGGCGUAAAGAGCUCGUAGGCGGUUUGUCGCGUCUGCCGUGAAAGUCCGGGGCUCAACUCCGGAUCUGCGGUGGGUACGGGCAGACUAGAGUGAUGUAGGGGGACUGGAAUUCCUGGUGUAGCGGUGAAAUGCGCAGAUAUCAGGAGGAACGCCAAUGGCGAAGGCAGUCUCUGGACAGUUCCUGACGCUCAUGCACGAAGGCCAGGGGAGCAAACGGG
rnacentral:rRNA from 1 species